rnacentral:rRNA from 1 species
GACGAACGCUGGCGGCGUGCUUAACACAUGCAAGUCGUACGGUAAGGCCCUUUCGGGGGUACACGAGUGGCGAACGGGUGAGUAACACGUGAGUAACCUGCCCACAACUUUGGGAUAACGCUAGGAAACUGGUGCUAAUACUGGAUAUGUGCUCCUGCUGCAUGGUGGGGGUUGGAAAGCUCCGGCGGUUGUGGAUGGACUCGCGGCCUAUCAGCUUGUUGGUGGGGUAGUGGCCUACCAAGGCGGCGACGGGUAGCCGGCCUGAGAGGGUGACCGGCCAAAUUGGGACUGAGAUACGGCCCAGACUCCUACGGGAGGAAGCAGUGGGGAAUAUUGCAAAAUGGGCGCAAGCCUGAUGCAGCAACGCCGCGUGCGGGAUGACGGCCUUCGGGUUGUAACCCGCUUUCAGCAGGGACGAAGCUUUUUGUGACGGUACCUGCAGAAGAAGCACCGGCUAACUACGUG